rnacentral:rRNA from 1 species
CACUCCUACGGGAGGCAGCAGUGGGGAAUAUUGCACAAUGGGGGAAACCCUGAUGCAGCCAUGCCGCGUGUGUGAAGAAGGCCUUCGGGUUGUAAAGCACUUUCAGUAGGGAGGAAGGUAGUGUAGUUAACACCUGCACUAUUUGACGUUACCUACAGAAGAAGCACCGGCUAACUCCGUGCCAGCAGCCGCGGUAAUACGGAGGGUGCGAGCGUUAAUCGGAAUUACUGGGCGUAAAGCGCAUGCAGGUGGUUUGUUAAGUCAGAUGUGAAAGCCCGGGGCUCAACCUCGGAAUUGCAUUUGAAACUGGCAGACUAGAGUACUGUAGAGGGGGUAGAAUUUCAGGUGUAGCGGUGAAAAUGCGUAGAGAUCUGAAGGAAUACCGGUGGCGAAGGCGGCCCCCUGGACAGAUACUGACACUCAGAUGCGAAAGCGUGGGGAGCAAACAGGAUUAGAUACCCUGGUAG